rnacentral:rRNA from 1 species
UACGUAGGGUGCGAGCGUUGUCCGGAAUUAUUGGGCGUAAAGGGCUCGUAGGCGGUUUUGUAAGUCGGGUGUGAAAUCCCCAAGCUUAACUUGGGAACUGCAUUCGAGACUGCAUAGCUAGAGUAUGGGAGAGGGAAGUGGAAUUUCAGGUGUAGCGGUGAAAUGCGUAGAUAUCUGAAGGAACAUCAGUGGCGAAAGCGACUUCCUGGACCAAUACUGACGCUCAUGUGCGAAAGCGUGGGGAGCAAACAGG